AGAACGAACGCUGGCGGCAUGCCUAACACAUGCAAGUCGAACGGGACCUUCGGGUCUAGUGGCGCACUGGUGCGUAACGCGUGGGAAUCUGCCCUUAGGUACGGAAUAACUCAGGGAAACUUGAGCUAAUACCGUAUAAUGACUUCGGUCCAAAGAUUUAUCGCCUAAGGAUGAGCCCGCGUAGGAUUAGCUUGUUGGUGAGGUAAAAGCUCACCAAGGCGACGAUCCUUAGCUGGUCUGAGAGGAUGAUCAGCCACACUAGGACUGAGACACGGCCCAGACUCCUACGGGAGGCAGCAGUGGGGAAUAUUGGACAAUGGGCGAAAGCCUGAUCCAGCAGUGCCGCGUGAGUGAUGAAGGCCUUAGGGUUGUAAAGCUCUUUUACCCGGGAUGAUAAUGACAGUACCGGGAGAAUAAGCUCCGGCUAACUCCGCGCCAGCAGCCGC
rnacentral:rRNA from 1 species